AGUUGAGGAUAUUUCUCGUGACACUUUCGCGAAAGCAGAAAAUCAUCAUUAGAGCUCUCCCUCUCCAUUACCCUGCACCCAAGGCCUCGAAAUUCACAUUGCAGGAAGAAGGAUCCAUCUGCUAAAUACUCAGGAGUACAAAAAACAAUUUUCAAAGAAAGAUUGGUUUGCUGACAAGGCCAUUGUAUUGACC